rnacentral:rRNA from 1 species
GAUGAACGCUAGCGGGAGGCCUAAUACAUGCAAGUCGAACGGUAACAGGUAGCAAUACGCUGACGAGUGGCGCACGGGUGCGUAACGCGUACACAAUCUGCCUUAUACUGGGGCAUAGCCUUUGGAAACGAAGAAUAAUUCCCCAUAACAUAUAGAAGAGGCAUCUCUUUUAUAUUAAAGCUCAGGCGGUAUAAGAUGAGUGUGCGUCCGAUUAGGUAGUUGGUGAGGUAACGGCUCACCAAGCCAACGAUCGGUAGCUGGUCUGAGAGGAUGAUCAGCCACACGGGCACUGAGACACGGGCCCGACUCCUACGGGAGGCAGCAGUAGGGAAUAUUGGACAAUGGGCGCAAGCCUGAUCCAGCCAUCCCGCGUGAAGGAUGAAGGUCCUCUGGAUUGUAAACUUCUUUUCUUCGGGAAUAAAAACUAGGGGUUCUCCUCAGCUUGAAGGUACCGAAGGAAUAAGCACCGGCUAACUCCGUGCCAGCAGCCGCGGUAAAGU